AUUGAACGCUGGCGGCACGCUUAACACAUGCAAGUCGAACGGCAGCGGGGGGAGCUUGCUCCCUGCCGGCGAGUGGCGAACGGGUGAGUAACGCGUAGGGAUCUGCCUGUUAGAGGGGGAUAAGCCGUGGAAACGCGGUCUAAUACCGCAUACGCUCUAAGGAGGAAAGUAUGGGACCGAAAGGCCAUACGCUAACAGAUGAACCUGCGUUAGAUUAGCUAGUUGGUAGGGUAAAGGCCUACCAAGGCGACGAUCUAUAGCUGGUCUGAGAGGAUGACCAGCCACACUGGAACUGAGAUACGGACCAGACUCCUACGGGAGGCAGCAGUGGGGAAUAUUGGACAAUGGGGGCAACCCUGAUCCAGCGAUGCCGCGUGUGUGAGGAAGGCCUGAGGGUUGUAAAGCACUUUAGUUGGGGAGGAAAGCCUGAGGAUGAAUAAGCCUUAGGGGAGACGUUACCCAAAGAAUAAGCACCGGCUAACUCUGUGCCAGCCGCCGCCGUAA
rnacentral:rRNA from 1 species